AGGUAAAUGGAUAUAUGAAGUGUUUUCCAAGAAAAUAUUGUCUUUUUCUUUUCCAGGUCAUUGCAGCCAGAACCUCAGAGACAACAGGACAGGAUAGACUUGAAACUUCGUGGUCACAUCAUUUGCUACAGAAAUGGCUGAAGGCGAUGAAGAUGAAGGAAACAUGAAAGUUACAGUCAAGGAAUGUUUAAAGGGUAUGAUAAUAGUUGGUAUCGCAACAUUUAUUGGUAGAAUGUUACUAGGGCCCCCUGGUCUUGUUGUUGGUGGUGUAGUUGGGGGACUUGCCGCUUAUGGAAUGUCUUGUGAUUUUAAAUCUGCUCCACAAAUCCUUCGUAAACCGCCUAAAGAUAAAAAAUGAUUACUGUGCAACAAGAUGAAGGAUAUCUUACAACACGUUGGUAUAUCAGCUUCUCCACAGCUCUUGAGCUACAUUAAACCACAUCAACAUCUCUACAGAAAUAUUGUAAAGUGCUUGAAAUAAUUUUUAACAGAUGAACUUCAAAUGACUUUAAACAAUUAAUGUAUGAUUACUUACAAAAUCUAUUGGUAUAUCAAAAUAAUAUUUUGGAA
rnacentral:misc_RNA from 1 species